ensembl:lncRNA
UUAUCAACAGUUUUAAUUUGACUCAAAAAAUGAACUGUACUGUAGAGAAAAUGGGUGAAAAAUCUAAAGUCAUGAUGACUUCUGAAUAUUAAAUAGACAGUUUGGUUUGUAACAGCGUUUCAUAGACAUACAAAUAUAUUCACAUGAUUAUAAGUGGCCCCCAUUAUCAGGUAGUGCAUUUUCAUUCAAGCUUCCUUGAAGGAUGGAACUGCUUUUCAUAUAGCACAACAUGGUACUAAUUACAGGUUGAUGCCUGUACGGUAUCUACUUAUACAACAUGGUACUAACUACAGGUUGAUACCUGUACGGUAUCUACUUAUACAACAUGGUACUAAUUACAGGUUGAUACCUGUACGGUAUCUACUUAUACAACAUGGUACUAACUACAGGUCGAUGCCUGUACUAUAUCUACUUAUACAACAUGGUACUAACUACAGGUCGAUGCCUGUACUAUAUCUACUUAUACAACAUGGUACUAACUACAGGUCGAUGCCUGUACUAUAUCUACUUAUACAACAUGGUACUAACUACAGGUCGAUGCCUGUACUAUAUCUACUUAUACAACAUGGUACUAACUACAGGUCGAUGCCUGUACUAUAUCUACUUAUACAACAUGGUACUAACUACAGGUCGAUGCCUGU